rnacentral:tRNA from 4 species
GCGGGCGUGGUGGAAUUGGUAGACACGCUAGACUUAGGAUCUAGUGCCGCAAGGUGUGAGAGUUCGAGUCUCUCCGCCCGCAC